AAAAAUAAAAAAUCAUAACAUUUUUUUUUGUUUUAUCAUUAAGUAACACUUAUAUAAAAUCUAAAUUAGAAAUCUAAAUACCAAAAAUUGAAUAUUAAAAGUGAAAAAAGAGAAAAAGAAAAAGAAAAAAAGGAAUAGAUUUUAUUUAGAAAAUUUAGAAAUUAACCCCAAAACUACCAGCCCUAGUUCGUCCUCCCUCCCUGUCUCCUCCCUGUCUCUCGACUCUCUCUCUCUCCUCCCUCUCGACUCCGUCGCCGGCGCCGCUGCCCCACGCCGGCCCGUCGCCGCCCACCCUCGCUGCUGCCCCGCGCCCUAGUUCUUCUCUGUUCGAUUGGUCGAGCCCUAGUUCUUCUCUGUUCGGUACAACCCAGCCGUCGCCAUCUCAGGGAGACCGGCGAGCUACGCGACCUAGAGCCCGCCCAUCGUUGCUGGUGGUCCGAGGAUCGGCGAGCCGAUGGUGUUCUACGGCCGGUUCUCUUCUCAACUCCACAUAAUCGAGGCAGGAGAGGGGGAAAGCCCUAAUUCUCCGAUUUGCAAUCGAGAGCGGAUGAGUUUGAUAAUUGGGCGUUGAACAAGAGUUUUGCCCCUUCUCCCUCUCUCUACCUCCUCUCUGUGCCGC
rnacentral:lncRNA from 1 species